GAUGAAGAACGCAGCGAAACGCGAUAUGUAAUGUGAAUUGCAGAAUUCAGUGAAUCAUCGAAUCUUUGAACGCACAUGGCGCCUUCCAGUAUCCUGGGAGGCAUGCCUGUCCGAGCGUCGUUUCAACCCUCGAGCCCUCGUGGCCCGGCGUUGGGGAUCUGCCACGGCAGGCCCCGAAAUACAGUGGCGGACCCGUUAGGCCCUUCCUUUGCGUAGUAGCAUCAGGCUCGCAUCGGGAGCCGGCGGGCUCUCCUGCCUCUAAACCCCCCAACAAGCCCGCUCCGGCGGCACCAAGGUUGACCUCGGAUCAGGUAGGAAUACCCGCUGAACUUAAGCAUAUCAAUAAGCGGAGGA
rnacentral:misc_RNA from 1 species